UGGCUGCGCGCGGCGACCCGUCUGUCUCCUUCUUUUUUUCUUUUUUAAAUGUAACCUGGUUUAUUGGGCUCUCGGCGUAUUCUUGCGUUCCUUCUGCACUGGGACAAGACACCACUGCACUAUUGGACUACGGCAAGCUGGUGCCGUCCGGUGGAGCUUCAUACAGGAACUACUGCCUUACUUGCUGGUGUCACAACGUUGGAUGAACGCACAAAA